CCUCUCAAGUGGGGCUCCUGCAACCCGGGUGUUGGCUGUCAGGUGCCAUCAUGCUCAGGAACUUCUGUGUGGCCAGGGUUGUGCUGAAUCUCACUGAAAAUAUAGGAGUUUGGACUUCUUUCUCUAGGUCAGAGGUGAGCAAGCUUUUUCUGUAAAGACCCAGAGAGUAAAUACUUUAGGCUUGCAGACCGUUGGCCUGUGUUGCAAAUACUCAGCUUUGCUGUUGUAACUUAAAGGCAGC
rnacentral:lncRNA from 1 species